AUGAAUGAGAACGAAUUGAGCAGACGGAGGGAAAUUGGUGCGGUAAAUAUAAUGUUAGUGAAGAGGGAUUUGAAAAGAGGAACAGGGGAAGUGACCGGACAACUAUCGGAGGGAGGGAAGUGUAUCGCUGAGAUUGUGGAUAUGGUGGGAGGGGUUAUACUGUGUAUGCUUGGGUUCGUGAAAAGUGAGGAAGAGGAAUAG